rnacentral:rRNA from 1 species
UAACAUCAUCCGAUCCCUAGUCGGCAUAGUUUAUGGUUAAGACUACGACGGUAUCUGAUCGUCUUCGAUCCCCUAACUUUCGUUCUUGAUUAAUGAAAACAUCCUUGGCAAAUGCUUUCGCAGUAGUUAGUCUUCAAUAAAUCCAAGAAUUUCACCUCUGACAAUUGAAUACUAAUGCCCCCAACUAUCCCUAUUAAUCAUUACGUCAAUCCUAGAAACCAACAAAAUAGGAUCGAACGUCCUAUUUCAUUAUUCCAUGCUAAUGUAUUCAAGCGUUAGCUUGCUUUAAACACUCUAAUUUUUUCAAAGUAACAGUCCAAAUUCCCCGCAACACCAAAUUAAUGGCAUUACGGCUCAUCAGGAAGGAGGAAUCAGUGAGACCAGUACAUACCAGAGGCAUGACCAACCUACUAACCCCGAAAUUCAACUACGAGCUUUUUAACUGCAACAA